GCAAACUUGGUCAUUUAGAGGAAGUAAAAGUCGUAACAAGGUUUCCGUAGGUGAACCUGCGGAAGGAUCAUUAACAAUUUUUUUAAAAAUCCAUACCCACCUUCGUGUGCAUCCACCGAAGCCAUGCCUUUGGGAGGGAAAGGGGAGGGUUGCCCAGGGGGUUUCCUUUAAAAAAACCCCUCCUCCUCCCUUCCUCCCGGAGGUUUCCUUCUAAAAACACGUUUUUUUUUUCUGUUUUUUAACAUACAAAUCAUAAUCAUCGUAACAACUUUCAACAACGGAUCUCUUGGCUCUCGCAUCGAUGAAGAACGCAGC
rnacentral:misc_RNA from 1 species